GGAUGAACGCUAGCGGCAGGCCUAAUACAUGCAAGUCGGACGGGAUUGGGAGCUUGCUCCCAUGAGAGUGGCGCACGGGUGCGUAACACGUAUGUAACCUACCUUUAUCUGGGGGAUAGCCUCUCGAAAGAGAGAUUAACACCGCAUAAAAUCACAGUACGGCAUUGUACAAUGAUCAAAUAUUUAUAGGAUAAAGAUGGGCAUGCGGGACAUUAGCUAGUUGGCGGGGUAACGGCCCACCAAGGCUACGAUGUCUAGGGGAUCUGAGAGGAUGGCCCCCCACACUGGUACUGAGACACGGACCAGACUCCUACGGGAGGCAGCAGUAAGGAAUAUUGGUCAAUGGAGGCAACUCUGAACCAGCCAUGCCGCGUGCAGGAAGACGGCCCUAUGGGUUGUAAACUGCUUUUAUACCGGAAUAAACCCUUUUACGUGUAGGAGGUUGAAUGUACGGUAGGAAUAAGGAUCGGCUAACUCCGUGCCAGCAGCCGCGGUAAUACGGAGGAUCCAAGCGUUAUCCGGAUUUAUUGGGUUUAAAGGGUGCGUAGGCGGCCUGUUAAGUCAGGGGUGAAAGACGGUGGCUCAACCAUCGCAGUGCCUUUGAUACUGACGGGCUUGAAUGCAGCUGA
rnacentral:rRNA from 1 species